rnacentral:rRNA from 1 species
GAGGAAAGACAUCACUCGCAGAAGAAGCACCGGCUAACUCCGUGCCAGCAGCCGCGGUAAUACGGAGGGUGCAAGCGUUAAUCGGAAUUACUGGGCGUAAAGCGCGCGUAGGUGGCUUGAUAAGCCGGUUGUGAAAGCCCUGGGCUCAACCUAGGAACGGCAUCCGGAACUGUGAAGCUAGAGUGCAGGAGAGGAAGGUAGAAUUCCCGGUGUAGCGGUGAAAUGCGUAGAGAUCGGGAGGAAUACCAGUGGCGAAGGCGGCCUUCUGGACUGACACUGACACUGAGGUGCGAAAGCGUGGGUAGCAAACAGGAUUAGAUACCCUGGUAGUCCACGCCGUAAACGAUGUCGACCAGCCGUUGGGUGCCUUGAGCACUUUGUGGCGAAGUUAACGCGAUAAGUCGACCGCCUGGGGAGUACGGCCGCAAGGUUAAAACUCAAAUGAAUUGACGGGGGCCCGCACAAGCGGUGGAGCAUGUGGUUUAAUUCGAUGCAACGCGAAGAACCUUACCUACCCUUGACAUCCUGCGAACUUGGUAGAGAUACCUUGGUGCCUUCGGGAACGCAGAGACAGGUGCUGCAUGGCUGUCGUCAGCUCGUGUUGUGAAAUGUUGGGUUAAGUCCCGUAACGAGCGCAACCCUUGUCCUUAUUUGCCAGCGCGUAAUGGCGGGAACUCUAAGGAGACUGCCGGUGACAAACCGGAGGAAGGUGGGGACGACGUCAAGUCAUCAUGGCCCAUACGGGUAGGGCUACACACGUGCUACAAUGGCCGGUACAAAGGGCGGCGAGCUCGCGAGAGUCAGCGAAUCCCUUAAAGCCGGUCUCAGUCCGGAUCGGAGUCUGCAACUCGACUCCGUGAAGUCGGAAUCGCUAGUAAUCGUGGAUCAGAAUGCCACGGUGAAUACGUUCCCGGGCCUUGUACACACCGCCCGUCACACCAUGGGAGUGGACUGCACCAGAAGUGGUUAGCCUAACGCAAGAGGGCGAUCACCACGGUGUGGUUCAUGACUGGGGUGAAGUCGUAACAAGGUAGCCGUAGGGGAACCUGCGGCUGGAUCACCUCCUUA